rnacentral:rRNA from 1 species
AGAGUUUGAUCAUGACUCAGACGAACGCUGGCGGCGUGCUUAACACAUGCAAGUGGAGCGACGAACCCGGGGCUUGCCCCGGGGCAGAGCCGCGAACGGGUGAGUAACACGUGGGUAACCCACCCCGAUGACCGGGACAACCCGAGGAAACUCGGGCUAAUACCGGAUGUGCUCCUUGACCUCGAGGUCAAGGCGUAAAGAUAGCUUCGGCCUUUCGCAUCGGGACGGGCCCGCGGCCCAUUAGCUUGUUGGUGGGGUAAAGGCCUACCAAGGCGACGAUGGGUAGCUGGUCUGAGAGGACGAUCAGCCACACUGGGACUGAGACACGGCCCAGACUCCUACGGGAGGCAGCAGUGGGGAAUCUUGCACAAUGCGCGAAAGCGUGGUGCAGCAACGCCGCGUGGGGGAAGGAGGCCUUCGGGUUGUAAACCCCUUUCAGUUGGGACGAAGCUUCGCCGGUGAAUAGCCGGCUGGAGUGACGGUACCUUCACAAGAAGCCCCGGCUAACUACGUGCCAGCAGCCGCGGUAAUACGUAGGGGGCUAGCGUUGUCCGGAAUCAUUGGGCGUAAAGCGCGUGUAGGCGGUUCGGUAAGUCCGCUGUGAAAGUCGGGGGCUCAACCCUCGGAUGCCGGUGGAUACUGUCGGACUAGAGUGCGGAAGAGGCGAGUGGAAUUCCUGGUGUAGCGGUGAAAUGCGCAGAUAUCAGGAGGAACACCGAUUGCGAAGGCAGCUCGCUGGGACGUUACUGACGCUGAGACGCGAAAGCGUGGGGAGCGAACAGGAUUAGAUACCCUGGUAGUCCACGCCGUAAACGAUGGGCACUAGGUGUGGGGGGUGUCGACUCCCUCCGUGCCGAAGCUAACGCAUUAAGUGCCCCGCCUGGGGAGUACGGCCGCAAGGCUAAAACUCAAAUGAAUUGACGG